CUCCCCCCAGCUGUCCCCUCCCCGCGGUGUCCCCAGGUCCCGUGUCCCCCCCGUGACAGGACAUGGCACACGGACACGGUGUCACCUCCCCCCGUGGGAUGGGGACAGACACAAGACACGAGGAUGGUGACGGUGACGCGGCGCCAGCGCUGGGGGACCCUCGGUGACAGCCCCGCCCCCAGCCCGGCCACCCCCCCGGGGGGACAAGGGUGGCACCUCCAGGGGGAGGGGACAGAGCCGAUGGUGGCACCUGGGGGGACACGGGGACACCUGGGGUGGUGUCACCUGAGUGUCCCCAAAGUGUCCUCAGUGUCCUCAAGGGACAUGGGGACACCUGAGAGGACAUGGGGACACCAGGGGUGGUGUCACCAACGUGUCCUCAGUGUCCUCAAGGGACAUGGGGACAUCAGGAGUGACAUGGGGACACCUGGGGUGGUGUCCCCAAAGUGUCCCCAAAGUGUCCUCAGUGUCCUCAAGGGACAUGGGGACACCUGGGAUGGUGUCACCAACGUGUCCUCAGUGUCCUCAAGGGACAUGGGGACACCUGAGGGGACAUGGGGACACCUGGGGUGGUGUCACCAAAGUGUCCCCAAAGUAUCCUCAGUGUCCUCAAGGGACAUAGGGACAUCAGGAGGGACAUGGGGACACCUGGGGUGGUGUCCCCAAAGUGUCCCCAGAGUGUCCCCAGUGUCCACAAGGGACAUGGGGACACCAGGAUCCGCAUGCCCAGGUGACACAGGGACAUGGGAGGGACAGGAGGACACCAGGAGGGACAUGGGGACAUUCCAGAUCCGUGUCCCCAAGGGUUCCCAGUGUCCCUUGGGGACACAGGAGGGACAUGGGGACACCAGGAGGGAUGUGGGGACACUGGGGGUGGUGUCCCCAAGGAGUCCUGAGGGACAUGGGGACAUCAAAGGAGGACACCUCGGUCCAUGUCCCCAGGGACAUGGGGACACCAGGAGGGACAUGGGGACACCCGGAUCUGUGUCCCCAAGGGUCCCCAGCGUCCCUUGGGGACACCAGGAGGGACAGGAGGACACCAGGAGGGACACAGGGACAUCAGGAGGGACAUGGGGACACCGGGGUGGUGUCCCCAAGGGGUCCUGA
rnacentral:lncRNA from 1 species